rfam:Rattus norvegicus chromosome 18, whole genome shotgun sequence.
GGGGAUUUAGCUCAAUGGUAGAGCACUUGCCUAGCAAGCGCAAGGCCCUGGGUUCAGUCCCCA